UCUUGAAACAAUAAUUGAUUGUAAGUUACAUUCCAAACCUAUGAUAGAGUUCACAAGCAAAAGGCAAAAGAAGAGAGGUACCUUUCUAAUCAUUGAGAUUUCCCCAUCCUCGGAGACUAUUGGAAGUUUCUGGGUUCAAGAAAGAAUAACGGUGAAGAAACAAUGCAAACAAGAAGACAGCUCCCAUAGAUUUAACAUUGUUUUUGGUUUUUCUUUUUCUUGCCAUAUGUUCAUAGUGUCAUGAUUUAAUCGUUUCUCUUCAGCAAAUAGAAAUGAUGAGUUAGUUCUAUCUAAAUUCAUCAAGAAGACAGAUGGAAACAUUAACAAGUUCCAGACGAAACAGAAAGCUAAGGAACUUUUUAAAGACACGGGUCUAGAAGUAAGAGAGGAAAUUAACCUGAGGCUGCCAUCCGUGUUCAUCUGCAUAACGGAAAGUAGCUUCAUUCACAGCUUGCCAUUCAAUAGCAAACCUCGUUGAACCACUAUUGACACCCAAAUGAAGCUGAAAGAACAUAAAUAACAAUAUAAAAUCAGUAAAUGGGAAAAUUUCCCUUUUUUCUGUGUGGCUUAUCUACUUCUCGUUACUUUUAGUCGAAUGCACAAGUAACCCAAUAUAGUGUAACAUCGUUACGUUAAAAUAAAAAACAUACCUCUUCAUUUAACUGAGAAAGUAUUAAGACUUUAUGUAAUAAAUACACUCAAUCUAAAUGUCCCGAUGAAUAUGUCCACACCAAACACUUUCAAUAAGCAAAAAUUUCAUUCUCCUCUUUCUACCUUCCCAUAUUGAUCUUCUUUGAACUUUGAAGUGCAAAUAGACCAAAAGAGGGUGUACUGUGGUAUUGAAUGAUUUGAAUCAUACAAUGUUUUAAUUGAGUUAUUGAGUUGAACAGGAUAGAGGAUUUCUUGAGGAGAGCGAUGUACUCAAGAACUCAAGCCUCGACAUGAUUGUUUAUGUAUUUGUUUCUCAAUGUUUCCUCCGUUAUUAGUAAAUCGCCCAACAUAUAGAAUAAAUAACUACAUCAGAUCUACUAGUGAGCAUUAAGAUUGUGUUCAAUAAAAAGAUUAUGUAAAACAAAA